AGACGAGCUCUCGGUGAGAGAUGUGGGAUGAGAGGUUAUUGCGCAAGCUAAGUGAUAUAGAUCGGCGGGCAUUUCUCUCGUUGGACCUGAAGGUCGGCUAAUCGGGUCGACAUGAAAGUGAACCGAGAUUGUUAUGUAUAAAAAGCAUAGACAGGCGAAGGUAUGACAGCCAUGUCUGAAGAAAAAGAGAGGUGCCAUAUUUUGUUUGGUAAAGAACAAUCGUAAAAGAAAAAAAAAAAAUAGAGAAUAGCGUCUAAUAGAGAUGACCGCGGCAGUCUGAUAUUGAAGAUUGCGAUUCAACUACGAUUUAAGUUGCGUGUGUUCCAUCUUUAUAAUUAUAUCGGUUAUUUCGUGUUCGAUAUCGCAACAGUAAACACGGGGUCAUGCGACAUCGUCAUCAACAUCCACGAUAGAUGAGAUGGCUUAUAGAGAGCAACGCACGCUCUGCAACCGCGCGCGAUUAUUGCGCAACCUGGUGCGUUGCGCAUCAACCGAUGGUACGUAAUUUCACGUAGGUGUGCGAGCGUGUACAUAUAUAAGAGGCCGCUCCAAAUCGUUUCUAGUGUUACUGAUCAGCACGUAACUUUCCGCUUAACGAUUCCUCGGGUCACCGUACUCACGCUCUAAGGCAGACGCCUCGACGUGAUCACUUCCCAAUAACCAUCUUUUACCUCUCUCGUCUAAGUUGCUUCGAUUUUGCCUUGGAACGGAUCGUCUCGAACUCUCGUAGUUCCUUAUUCAGGCUUCAGACUUUUAUCGAGUCGAUUCGAAAUGACGUGAACAAAGAUCUCUUUAAUCUUUGCCAGAGAAAAAUUUUUGAUUUCUUCACGAACGACAUUGUGAUUAACUCCUAACCUCUAUGAUUUAUUGUACUCUAUAGAUGAUGGAUUUCAUUAUCUGAGUCAUUUUUUUAAUUCUUUUUGGAUCUUUUUACGAACAUAGAUCAAUGAUAUUUUAUUAAUCGCUUUUAUAUAAGUAAUUCUUGAAGCUUAUAAUUAGAAAGCUUUCCAUAGACGGUCUUCAUUACUGCAGUAUAGAAACGCUAAUUGAUGUUGCGUUAUUAGUAAGAAACAUGUAUUAGUGAAUAUGAUUGCCGUGAGAAUGUGUUCAUCUCUUUGGUUGCCGUGUAGAGCAUGAUAGCGAAGAAAAUCAUAAAAAAAAAUCAUAAAAAUUAUUCAUUUAUUCAAAUUUACAGUGUAAUUCCAAUUGAGAGAUUAAUAUCUAUUUGAAUCUUUCUAAAUUGCAUUCUUCCAAAUACAAUCGCUUUGACAUCAAAUCUAGUUAUAAUACACGUGUAUUGCCUAAAGGGUGAGUGAAAUGCUUUGCGUAAUCGGUCAUACUUUCUUUCUAUGAUGCUUAUAAUAAGUUUGUGGAAGAAAGUGCCUGAACUGAUGAGACUCGCAUUGAUGGUUCGACAUCUUGUAUCGACUUGUACCAGCAGAAGUAAAAUCAUUCCAUGGAAAACAAUAAAUCACAUCGGUCUUUCCCAUGCAUUUCUCAUCUUAUUGGUAAACGUUCAGCCUUCGCUCCACUAGCUUUACAAUCUUGAAGGAUAAACGGAUAAAUAUUUCUCAACUAACAUUGAAAGAGUUAAUACGCUUAGUUAUCAACAUCAUAGUAACAAAUUCAAUCCGUGCUAUAUGGAUAUCGGAUUCCUGGAAUCGGAUCGGAUGAAGAAGAUGUAGGAAAUCAAGGAGAUAUUGACAACAGAAAUCAACAUGAUUUGAUGAUCGAUAGGAUCAUCGGUGAGUUGUGAAUCGAUUCGAAUUAACUGGUGUAGGGGUGCGGCUCGCGCGCAAAAAAACGGGGCAAUCGUGAGUCUCGAUAAUAGGAUACUAUGAUCGUUCGAGACAAUGUAUAUCUUAGCUUGAGAAGAAUAGACUGAAAAGAAUAGACUGGGAUGCUUUCUAAACGGAUCGAGUCUCCGAAUACACCGAUACGCUUUGAGAAGACCCAGCCCUUUGCCGCGCUAUCCGUGCAUUCAUCUAUCUUGCUGCUCGUGUUAUGCCAGAGGUGAGGUUCAUCGGUGAAACACUUCAUCGAGAAUUGUUCCGCCGCAGUCUCAACGCUCUCAACGAAUCGCUCUAACGGUGGGCGCUGUCUCCAAAAAAGGAUCGUGCAUGAGAAGACAGGAUCCUAGCCGAGAGUAAUAAGCGAUCUAUGGUCUAAUGUUUCAUCGUUCUUCCAGUUGAGGCUCCUCGGUAAAAGCCGAAUAUGGUGUUACUGAUAGUUUUAUAAGAGAAGUAAAAUUUUUUUUUUCCUUCUUAUUGUUCCGCUAAUGUAUCUUUUUAGCAAUAAAUUCUAUUAUACUUUUGUUUUUCUUCCAGUGAGAAUUCUUGAAUUCUUUAGAAGAUGGGAUAUUUUAUUUCGUUAAAAUAUUUAUCAAGAUUAUAUAACCGAAAUACACUGUGAAAUAGAAAUAUCGUUAUUUGUUCAUCUGUUGCAGUUUAAUGGAUUAGGAAACAUUAGUUAUACGUUUGAUAGGUUAGUUAAUUGCAGUUGUGAACACAACAUGGCAUAUGCAUGUGUAAAGAGAAAUAAUUUCAUACUCUAUUGCCGCAAGGGUAUUCCCGUAAUCAGAAUAAUCAGACGACAAUUCCAAAUCAACUUUCUCCCCAGUAAGAAUUCUAAGAGAAUAAGACACGAACGAAAAUUGCGGAAGCGGCUCACACGUCGUUAUUGAAUAAUGAUCUCGAACGGGAGGGACUGUACGCAUAAUGCCUCCCUACUAUCGUCUCGACUCUUGCUUUGUUACAAUCUUACUAGAUAGAUGAUUGCACCAUUUCGAAAGAACCACAUAGAGGUCGACAAAGGAGGAAAAUAUUUUUGCGGUUUAGGUAGUUCUUGAAUGCUUUGAUGCAACCAUGUGGACGCAAUGAUAACAGGGAGUAUGACAAAGUAGAUGAGUACGCGUUUCCCGCGACUAAACUAUCUUCUCGCAAUUCUAUGCAACAACCUGAUGCAAUUGAUGGAAAAUUCUUGUGUAUUGGAAUUCUUAAAAUACGUAUUAGUAUGUACUUUCAUCCGGGAUACCGAGCGUACUAUCGUGAUGAUAAUUGCUUCUCGUUCACAGUAAUAUAUAAAAUUUAAACAUUUCUCCUUUUGCUUGGAUACCUUUAGGCUAUGACCAAGUUGAACGAUGUAAUUGACCAGGAUAAAGAUGGAAGAAGGAUUAAAGAACAAAGGAACGUUAGUAAAAUUAUCUUUUGUUGUUAGAGAUUACCACUGAUGAAUCCUCUUCGAUGGAAUUUGAAAACAUAUCGCAAUUAUUCGAUCCGGGAUCCUCCACGAUCGACGCGAUCGAGACUAACCGAGAUGUCGUUUUCUCGAUUUAAAAGGGUCAUCUCCUGAGUGAGCGAGUGAAUGGGUACUCACGGUAGCACACUGUGAGCCUUCUCUUCGUGAGCUGGCUCAUGGUUACGGGGAAAGAAAAUAUAGUUCAGUCCGGUUGCAUAAUAGAGGUGCAUCACAUUGGUUCGACUGAGGUACUUUGAGAAUCUAUAGUAACAGCGAAUAUUUCUUCUUCUAGCGUCAAUGGUGACCUUUGAAGCUGAAGGCAUGAACACUUGUAACACCGUUGUUCGCUGAGGGUAGGGGUGCAGUCAUGCUGUAACGAAGAUGAAAACCAUUAGCCCCGAGCUAUAGAGUUAGAUGAUCUAAUUUCUAUAUAGUUUGUAUACCGACACCCGGACUCGACCUGUUCACCUUGGUUGCUGAGCAAUAUAAAAGCAAGCUCUUCGACUCAUGAGCUUAAAACGAUGCUCGACUGCAUCGUCAAAGCAUGAACUAAUAUAAAAUUGAAUUCAAUAGGUUUGUAUUAUGUUUAGUUUUAUGAUAAAUUUAAGAUUAAUUUAA